AAGAGGGCUAGUGGCAUAUUUGUUGACCUUGACCCAAGUUGGAGCCCUUCUUUGUGAUGAUGAAAAAUUCUCAUACUUGUGGGUGGUUAGUUGAGUUUCCUUAAAAUGACAAAGUGCCUUUUCAUUAAAAAGAAUCAAAAUAAAUAUUUUUGUUACUUUUACCAUAAACUAUGAGGUUUUGGUCCUCCAUUUCACUUUGUUGGUACGUAGGCAUGAGACUCAGAAAAUCUCAACAUACAGAAAAUUAUAAAAAACAUAUCUCUUCUCAUCUCCCCAAUCUUUUG
rnacentral:lncRNA from 1 species